GACCACCUUUUUAGGUUAAGGCCAUACGGACAGCCGGGUCAACUGCCG
rnacentral:sRNA from 1 species